rfam:Lactonifactor longoviformis DSM 17459 genome assembly, contig: EJ64DRAFT_scaffold00007.7
GGCGAGAUAGCUCAGUUGGCUAGAGCAUGCGGUUCAUACCCGCAGUGUCGGGGGUUCGAAUCCCUUUCUCGCUA